rnacentral:rRNA from 1 species
CCCUUAGAUGUUCUGGGCCGCACGCGCGCUACACUGACGAAUUCAACGAGCUCCUAACCUAGGCCGAAGGGUCCGGGUAAUCUUUGAAAUUUCAUCGUGAUGGGGAUAGAUUAUUGCAAUUAUUAAUCUUCAACGAGGAAUUCCUAGUAAGCGCGAGUCAUCAGCUCGCGUUGAUUACGUCCCUGCCCUUUGUACACACCGCCCGUCGCUCCUACCGAUUGAAUGGUCCGGUGAAAUGUUCGGAUCGCGGCAAAUCGGACGGGUAACCGUCAGGUUCGCUGCGAGAAGUUCAUUAAACCUUAUCAUUUAGAGGAAGGAGAAGUCGUAACA